GGAGGGGUUACCGAGUUUGGUCAAAGCCAUUUUACACCAAAAUGGGUCAAGACUAUAGGUGCUGGACUUAAGAUCCAGUGGCAAAGGCCUUCGAGAGUUCGAAUCUCUCCCCCUCCA
rnacentral:tRNA from 1 species